AAAUGAAUAGACGGGGGCCCGCACAAGCAGUGGAGCAUGUGGUUUAAUUCGAUGCUACGCGAAGAACCUUACCAGGGCUUGACAUAGUUCUAAGACUCUAGAAAUAGAGGGAUAUACAGAACAUACAGGUGGUGCAUGGUUGUCGUCAGCUCGUGUCGUGAGAUGUUAGGUUAAGUCCUCCAACGAGCGCAACCCUUGUCCUUAGUUACCAUCAUUAAGUUGGGGACUUUAAGGAGACUGCCGGUGUAAGCCGGAGGAAGGUGGGGAUGACGUCAAAUCAUCAUGCCCUUUAUGUCCUGGGCGACACACGUGCUACAAUGGUCGGUACAAAGAGCUGCAAUGCCGCGAGGCUGAGCGAAUCUCAUAAAGCCGAUCUCAGUUCGGAUUGGAGUCUGCAACUCGACUCCAUGAAGUCGGAAUUGCUAGUAAUCGUAGAUCAGCCAUGCUACGGUGAAUACGUUCCCGGGCCUUGUACACACCGCCCGU
rnacentral:rRNA from 1 species